rnacentral:sRNA from 2 species
AAAAUAGACAACUAGGGUUCCGAUGCUAACAAGGAAAAGCAUGCCUGGUCCGAGAGUUGUCAACCUCACCUAAAUCAGCGCGAAGCUGACUAAGAGGUCACACGGAGGGACAAAAGCCCGGGAGAU